rnacentral:snoRNA from 1 species
GUCCACGUUACCAUGGGAGCUGUGUUUCUGAAUGACAGCCUCCCUUCCUAGGCGUGGUACAGCAAGUUCUUGCUUUUACUCAAACAGUCUCUUGUGAUGUCGUCACUAGAGCCAGGAAUAAAAGAAGAAACAAUU